CGUCGAAGCCAUAAAACUCCGUGUUAUUAUCAAUAUAAUGAGAGAGAUGCACAUAUAGUGACUGGAAAGCCUUCUUUAAUAUUUUGUUCAUGCGGAUGGCUGUGUAUUGUGCUGAGUGACCGUGAUUUCUGUCGAGACACGUACCCAUGUGACGAAAUCAGAUCGACAAUAGAUCUCGAAGCAGGGGAGAAGAGAGCUCUGUAGGCCUUCUGUUUCCUCAGGCCGAGUGUGAAGCAACAGAAGGGGAAAUUGAGUUCAUCAUUGGCUGUGAAAGCGUGUACAAUGCUAUGGUGAUGCUAUGAUGAUGAACAUAUAAGAGUCCACUAUCGUUGUCUAUGUUGGUUAUAUUCAUGUAAUUGACCUGUUAAUGUGGUGACUGAGAACAAAGAGACAAGAGAGUUUGAUGUAAAGAAAAAAUAACAUCUUUAUUGAUUUCAACCACUGUAACAAGCCUUACUAUGUAACACCCUUAAG